rnacentral:rRNA from 1 species
UACGGAGGGAGCUAGCGUUGUUCGGAUAUACUGGGCGUAAAGCGCACGUAGGCGGCGCCGUAAGUCAGGGGUGAAAUCCCGGAGCUCAACUCCGGAACUGCCCUUGAAACUGCAGUGCUAGAAUUCUGGAGAGGCGAGUGGAAUUCCGAGUGUAGAGGUGAAAUUCGUAGAUAUUCGGAAGAACACCAGUGGCGAAGGCGACUCGCUGGACAGAAAUUGACGCUGAGGUGCGAAAGCGUGGGGAGCAAACAGG